AGGUUUCUGUGGAUACAUCUCUGGCUGUAGUUUCUAAGAUGUUGGACCACGAUCACUUCGUCAUCGUUACCAAAGGGUGGCAGUACUACGAGGAUGACGGCAAACCUGCACCACGUGAAAUGUACAUUGGUACUGUCACCGCCUCCCACCUGUUAGCUUACAUCAUAGCUGGACCUCACCUUUAUACCAACGGGGUAUCAGAUGAUAAAACCGUCGGAUCAGAUGUCGAAAGUUUAAAGUCAUGUGAUAAUGAGUCGUGAUGCCGUGAUCUGAAUGACGAUGACGGUGUCCACACAGAGAAGCAGAUCGUAUUUGGUAUACUGAGCAGAAGUGAUAUUGUACACUACCUUAUGAACGAAGGCUCAGAGGAAACACCACCUAAAGUACCCCUUACCAAUGGUUUCCACUAGUUCCCUAGGGACCGUGUUUUGGGAUGAAUCUAUUUUUAGAGUUCGAAACGGUGGACAUUUUAACAUAGAGGUUUCGGACAUUUUAACAUAGAGGUUUUGAACAUUUUUAAUUAAAAGUCUAACGAGCAUUUUAUUUAGGUAUAUUUUCAUUCAAAGAAUAUGCCGCAUGAUUAUUAUAGAUAGGGAUACUGGUUGGGAGCCGAAACAUAUUUGUUCUGACACGUGCCAUAUAUUUACCAGUCAGCUGCCAUCAUUGACCAAUCAAACCCCAAUAUCACUGUCACGUGUCACAUAAUAUGUUUUAUCUCCCACCAGUGUCUAUUGUUUUAGUUUUAGCAUGCUUUGCUUUUUAAUGAGUUGUUUUUUAGGUUUCUUUGUGCAAAGUUAUAUGAUUGGGUUUUUGCGUCAAGUUAAAAUAGUCUACAGUGAAACUCUGGAUUCCGGACCAAACGUUAAAGAUUUGUUAAUAGUCCCGUCGAAAUGCAGUCGAAACCGAGAUUUCAGUUUCCACCGUUUAUUAUGUAUAAUUAGAACAUAGCCGGGAUGUGUGACUUCUACGUCAGCCGUCAGGCGUGAUAGUGAAAUUAAUCAUUAUAUUAAGCAUCAUAUUCAUAUAUGAUAUUGAGCAAUGAGCAUCCCAAUUCCUUAUUCCUUUAAUAUCCAGACUAACUUAUUUUCAAAAAAAUAAUCUCUAUUCUCUGUCCGGAUCUAACCGGCCAAAGUUUCACUGUAGUUAAGUUAUAAGUAUUUAAAAGUGUACAUUUCCAUUUUAUAGUGCUGCGAUUUGUAUUGAACCUAGUGUCCCUUUUUUAAGUUUGACAAAUA